rnacentral:tRNA from 1 species
GCCUGGGUGGCUCAGUCAGUUGGGCAUCUGCCUUCAGCUCAGGUCAUGAUCCCAGGGUCCUGGGAUCGAGUCCCACUUCAGGCU